rnacentral:rRNA from 1 species
UAGGGAAUCUUCCGCAAUGGGCGAAAGCCUGACGGAGCAACGCCGCGUGAGUGAUGAAGGUCUUCGGAUCGUAAAACUCUGUUAUUAGGGAAGAACAUAUGUGUAAGUAACUGUGCACAUCUUGACGGUACCUAAUCAGAAAGCCACGGCUAACUACGUGCCAGCAGCCGCGGUAAUACGUAGGUGGCAAGCGUUAUCCGGAAUUAUUGGGCGUAAAGCGCGCGUAGGCGGUUUUUUAAGUCUGAUGUGAAAGCCCACGGCUCAACCGUGGAGGGUCAUUGGAAACUGGAAAACUUGAGUGCAGAAGAGGAAAGUGGAAUUCCAUGUGUAGCGGUGAAAUGCGCAGAGAUAUGGAGGAACACCAGUGGCGAAGGCGACUUUCUGGUCUGUAACUGACGCUGAUGUGCGAAAGCGUGGGGAUCAAACAGGAUUAGAUACCCUGGUAGUCCACGCCGUAAACGAUGAGUGCUAAGUGUUAGGGGGUUUCCGCCCCUUAGUGCUGCAGCUAACGCAUUAAGCACUCCGCCUGGGGAGUACGGCCGCAAGGUUA